rnacentral:rRNA from 1 species
GCUAACUAGUGGGGAGCUGCGGGUGUAAGACGUAGGGGGGGAUCGUUGGCCGGAAUGAUGGGGGGUAAAGGGCGCGGAGGCGGCUUUGCAAGUCUGGAGUGAAAGUCCUCUUUUUAAGGGGGGAAUUGCGUUGGAAACUGCAGGGCUUGAGUGCAGGAGAGGUUAGCGGAAUUCCCGGUGUAGCGGUGAAAUGCGUAGAGAUCGGGAGGAACACCAGUGGCGAAGGCGGGUAACUGGACUGCAACUGACGCUGAGGCGCGAAAGUGUGGGGAGCAAACAGGAUUAGAUACCCUAGUAGUC